rnacentral:lncRNA from 12 species
GGGCUGUCCCGGCAGCCGCCCCACGGUCACCGCCUCCCGCAGGCACUGGGCCCACUCGGGGCCGGCCUCCAGCAGCUCACGGGGGGGGGGCUCCGCGCCACUGCCCCGUCCGUCCCCCCAUCCGUCCCCUGUCUGUCCCUCUGUCCGUUCCCCCGUCCAUCCCCGGGUCCGUCCUCCCAUCCAUCCUCCCUCCCAUCCCCCUGUCCGUCUCCCCCGCCGUCCGUUCCCGUCUGUGCCUCCUGUCCAUCCCUCUAUCUGUCCUCCCGUCUGUCCUCCCUCCCGUCCCCCCGUUGGUCCCCCAUCUGUCCCUUGUCCGUCUCUCUGUCCGUCCUCCCUCCUGUCCCCCCGUCCCUCCCCCAUCCAUCCCCCGUCCCAGGUUACUCCCGGGCCCAGCACACAAGCCCUAUUCCCGUGACAGAGCCUGCCAGCUCCCCGCCCGCCUCCGGGGUGAGGUCCACUGUGAGGCCACCUGCCAGGAGCGGGGGAGGGUGCGGCCCCGCCAGCCACCCGCACCCCCGGCCGCCGUCCUUGUUGGGGGCGCCCAUCACCCCCCACGUGCCCCUCGCUGGGCUCCAAGCUCCGUGGACGGGGACAGGAGAGCAGCGUGCAGCAGGCCCUCCGCGCGGCCCACGUCCCCCGCCUGGUACCUCCCACCAGGAGUGUCGGGACACCACCGCCCGUUCCCACAGCCCACACGGUUCUCCCACACGCUCUCGUGUCCCCAUUGGGGAAGCCGCAGGGCUUGGUUCCUCCCCGACCUGCCAACUCCCUGGAUCUCCCGCCUCCUUCCCCAGAAUCCCGGGAGGGCGCGAGGGUACAUGGGGGCAGGGGCAGGGGAUGCAAGGGUGUGGGGGGGCUGACGUGCUGUGCCCAGGGUGGCCCUGGCUCCUGCGACCUCAGGCCCCAUGGAGGGCAGCGCACCUCUGGGGGCAGCCUCCGCCCCCCUCCCCGCACUCCCGCCUGCUCCAGCCCUCCUGCAGCCUCCCCACCCCCUGCACCCCUGCACACCGCUGGGCGACAGCGAACACCUGGCCGCUUUGUCAAGCACUGCGGGUCACCAGGGUGGGCCGGGGACGCGUUGCAGCAGGACAGGCUGUGAGGUGUGCGCACAGCCGGGAGCCCCUGCACACUUGGGAGCACGCCGGGACCCUCCAGGGCCUCACACACUGGGGAGCUGCUGGGACCCCAGCACUGGCUAGCUGCCUCCGGCCCCCUCUGGCAGGGUGA